AAAGAUAUGAAUUACCGUCGUUUUCAAAAAAACGCCACAAACAUCUCCCUUUACUUUCCCUAAUUCAGAUUAUCCCCAAACGUCUGGUGCCCCAAACUUUGAAUCUCCAAAUCCCCUAAAAUUUUCCCCAAUUUGAUAUCCUCAAAUCGGUUUCCCAAAAUCCCCAAAUCAAAAUACCUUUGAUUUUCGCCGAAGUCCCUUUGAUUUUUUUUUUUUUUCAUUUUCAUUUUCAUUUAUCAUUGAAAGAAAAUAAAAGAGGAAAAAAAAAGUUUUGAUAAACUUGAAGAAGAGAUGGUAAAAUCGUUGAAGCCAGCGUCCUCUGAUGAAGAACUGUACAAUGCUUCGAGUUCAUCGAAGAGGAGCGAAUGAACGCUCAUGUCAACGGCGAAGAAGAUGAUGAGGAAGAGAUUGAAGCUGUUGCUUGUUCCGCCGACGCCUCCGACAAAGAUGAUGGAGCCGUCCAUGAAUAAAACGUCGAUGAUGCUUAUGAUAGCUGUAAAUAUGAGAAUUGGAAUGUAGUCGCUAAGUACUUAACGGAAGAUCUUCCCCUUUUGCUCACUUCCAAGAAUCUAAAAGAUGUUAAUGAUGUAUUAUGUAUGGUAUUUAGAUCAGCACCUUCUAGUUUGAGGGAUUUCAUCAAGUGGAUUACAGAGAUUCGGAGAUAAGAUGAUGGCAGUACCGUUUUAAGUGAAGAUGAGAAAGGAAGGGUUGCACUCAAGAUACCUGGUUGGGCCUUAAAGAGGAGAAGCUACAGGCAGAGAUGAAAGGUCUUACAUCUACAGACUGUCUCCCAACUUUGCUUCAAGAUGAGGACUGAGCAAUGCUUCGUUUACAGUUAUAAGAGAAGUGGUAUGCUAGUCCAGAGGAAAUCAAUGAAGGUGUUUGCACAAUUUUAUCUAAUAUAUACAGUUUGGGUAUGCUGCUUUUUGAGUUGCUUUGUCAAUUUGAAUCUGAGAGAGCACAUGCUGCUGCAAUGUUGGAUCUACGCCAUAGGAUUUUUCCUCCAACUUUUCUAUCAGAAAAUCUCAAGGAAGCUGGAUUUUGUCUUAGACUACUUCACCCAGAACCUUCUUUGCGCCCAACAACCAGGGAUAUCCUACAAUUUGAAGUACUUAAUGGAUUCCAGGAAGUAUUUGCAGAAGAACUGUAGUCAUCCAUUAACCGAGAUGAUACUGAAUCAAAAUUAUUAUUGCAUUUCCUUGGUUUAUCAAAAGAGAAAAAGCAGAAGCAUGCCUCGAAAUUAAUGGAAGAUAUUGCUUGCUUGGAAGCAGAUAUUAAAGAGGUUGAGAAAAGAAGGCACUUUUCUAGAAAACCUUUAACUUACUCUUCCAUCAAUGCGAGGGAAUGUAGGCACCAUAGUAAAGAACCUCCAAUCUCAGAGAUGCAUUCAAGUUUAUACCUGUUUUCCAGUGACAAUGAAAUGAGGUUAAUGAGAAAUAUCAAUCAGCUUGAAUCUACUUAUUUCUCUAUGAGGUCAAGAGUCCCUUUUCAUGAGACCGAUUCUAUGAGACGGCCAGAUAAGGAUUUACUGAAAAAUCAUGACAAUGGGCAUUUGACACAAAACAAUGAAGAAAUAUCGAGUCCUCCUGAUAGCCUUGGAGUAUUCUUUGAUGGUUUGUGUAAGUAUGCUCGAUAUAGCAAGUUUGAAGUCCGUGGGAUAAUGAGAAGUGGGGAGUUCAACAACUCUGCGAAUGUAAUCUGUUCUUUAAGUUUUGAUCAUGAUGAGGAUUAUUUUGCUGUUGCUGGUAUCUCUAAUAAAAUAAAGAUAUUUUAAUUUAAUACACUUUUUAAUGACUCUGUUGAUAUUCAUUAUCCAGUCAUUGAGAUGUUAAACAAAUCAAAGCUUAGUUGUGUUUGCUGGAAUAACUAUAUCAAGAACUAUCUGGCUUCAAAUGACUACGAUGGUCUGGUUAAGGUCAGCUUCCUGUUCUUGGAUGUAUUACACUAGAUUGCAGUCCAAGAACAAUUUGCAGAAGGCACAUAAUGGUUGGCUCGCUCUUACCUCUACAAAUGCAUAUGGGAGGCAUUGCAGCAGCGAAUAAGAAUGAUAUUGAUCAACAUGCAGUUGACACCGUAUGUGCUUUGAAUCCGAAUUCAGGUGUGAGUUUCAGAUAUUUUAUGUGCAAAAAAGUAUUAGAGUGCCAUAUGUUUGUAUGUUAGUUAAGUAGAUUAUAGUUAGAACCUGUAGUAGGAUCAACUAAUUAGUUGAUCAAAAACUACACCCAGUUUUGUAAUAGUCUACUUGCAUAUUUGCAUAUAUUUAAUAAUAAUCUCAUGUCAACUAA